UAAGGGUAUGGAAAUGAAAUGAUCAAUGUUGUAAUAAUUAUAUUGGAAACUUGAUUGUAUUUGGAAGCUAAAAAGAGACUUAAAGAAUGUAAAUGAAAAGAGUAAUAUGUGAUGUAGAAUGAAUUAAGUGAGUUGAAUGCAUGUAAUAAUUUAGUUGUUUAUGUUUUCGAUACCUUUCUUAUGCAACCUUUGAUUGAAUACUGUUCCUAGUUGGAACUUCGCGUAUUGUAUGAUUGUGACGCCUUGAACGUACAGGAAAGACUCUGUCUGCGGUACAAGGGAAACUCUGUCCGUUCGGCGGUCGGCGGUCUGUUGGCGUGCCCGAAUC
rnacentral:lncRNA from 1 species